UGAGUGACCUGCCGAUUUGUGGGGGAUAGCCGGGCCAACGCCCGGGUAAUACCGCAUACGCUCUUCUUGGGGCAUCUCUAGAAGAGGAAACCUCCGGGGCAAAUCGAGGAACUCGCGGCCUAUCAGCUAGUUGGCGAGGUAACGGCUCACCAAGGCUACGACGGGUAGCUGGUCUGAGAGGAUGGCCAGCCACAUUGGGACUGAGACACGGCCCAGACCUCCGUACGGGGAGCAGCAGG
rnacentral:rRNA from 1 species